UACGUAGGGGGCUAGCGUUGUCCGGAUUUAUUGGGGGUAAAGGGUGCGUAGGCGGCGCGGUAAGUCGGGUGUGAAAUCUCGGAGCUUAACUCCGAAACUGCAUUCGAUACUGCCGUGCUUGAGGACUGGAGAGGAGACUGGAAUUUACGGUGUAGCGGUGAAAUGCGUAGAUAUCGUAAGGAAGACCAGUGGCGAAGGCGGGUCUCUGGACAGUUCCUGACGCUGAGGCACGAAGGCCAGGGGAGCAAACGGG
rnacentral:rRNA from 1 species